rnacentral:rRNA from 1 species
UGCCAGCCGCCGCGGUAAUACAGAGGGUGCGAGCGUUAAUCGGAAUUACUGGGCGUAAAGCGUGCGUAGGCGGUUAAUUAAGUCAGAUGUGAAAGCCCUGGGCUCAACCUGGGAAUUGCAUUUGAUACUGGUUAACUUGAGUAUGGGAGAGGGAAGUGGAAUUUCCGGUGUAGCGGUGAAAUGCGUAGAUAUCGGAAGGAACACCAGUGGUGAAGGCGGCUAACUGGACUGAUACUGACGCUGAGGUGCGAAAGUGUGGGGAGCAAACAGGAUUAGAUA